rnacentral:rRNA from 1 species
AUUGAACGCUGGCGGCAUGCCUUACACAUGCAAGUCGAACGGUAGAGGGGCAACCCUCGAGAGUGGCGAACGGGUGAGUAAUGCAUCGGAACGUGCCCAGUAGUGGGGGAUAGCCCGGCGAAAGCCGGAUUAAUACCGCAUACGACCUACGGGUGAAAGGGGGGGAUCGCAAGACCUCUCGCUAUUGGAGCGGCCGAUGUCAGAUUAGGUAGUUGGUGGGGUAAAGGCCUACCAAGCCGACGAUCUGUAGCUGGUCUGAGAGGACGACCAGCCACACUGGGACUGAGACACGGCCCAGACUCCUACGGGAGGCAGCAGUGGGGAAUUUUGGACAAUGGGCGAAAGCCUGAUCCAGCCAUGCCGCGUGCGGGAAGAAGGCCUUCGGGUUGUAAACCGCUUUUGUCAGGGAAGAAAUCCUUUGGGCUAAUACCCUGGGGGGAUGACGGUACCUGAAGAAUAAGCACCGGCUAACUACGUGCCAGCCGCCGCAGUAACAC